AUUGUGCAAUAUUAUUUCUGCAAUAUUGCAGCUAUAUUGCAAAGAUAUUAAUUUGCAGUAACAACUGAAUAUCCGUGAACGAAUGUUCUAUGCGACGCUAAACGCUUUAACCUCCUCUUUUUACCUCCUCUUUUAACCUCUAUUCGUUGAUAGAUGUUACAAAAAACUUGACUGCGAUUGUUCAAACUGAUCUAGAUCGCAGUCAUAUUUUCAUCUCAAACGAGAAAGAACGCUUAUCGACAUAUAAUGGCAACAUGACACAAAUGUAUGUUGAGAAACUGACGGAGCUUUAUAACCUUUCUGAAAGGCCUUAUUGUGAUUAGACUAUAAGCUAUUUCGAUUCGCUUUUAUACAAAAUGAACGAAUUUUAAAGAAAAAAGUGUUAUUCUACUCCGUAAAGCAAUAUGAUUUUGAUCAAUAUUGCAAAUAACGAAGCUGUUCGUAUAUCCCACAGCGCAAUGACAGACAACGACUAUGCGGAAUAUGUAUCGAAAUGGCUUGCACAAGCACUGUAUGGAUUUCAAGGCAGAAAAUUGGAGAAACGGUGGCUCAUGA